GACGAACGCUGGCGGCGUGCCUAACACAUGCAAGUCGAACGAGGUCCAUGCAGUGGCAACACUGCGGAAGACCUAGUGGCGAACGGGUGAGUAACACGUGAGGAACCUGCCCCGAAGACCGGGAUAACUCUCCGAAAGGAGCGCUAAUACCGGAUGCCCCACCGAACCGCAUGGUUUGGUGAGGAAAUGGAUUCCGCUUCGGGAGGGCCUCGCGGCCUAUCAGCUAGUUGGUGGGGUAACGGCCCACCAAGGCAUCGACGGGUAGUUGGUCUGAGAGGACGAUCAGCCACACUGGGACUGAGACACGGCCCAGACUCCUACAGGAGGCAGCAGUGGGGAAUCUUGCGCAAUGGGCGAAAGCCUGACGCAGCAACGCCGCGUGGGGGAUGAAGGCUUUCGGUUGUAAACCCUUUCAGCAGGGACGAAUCAAGACGGUACCUGCAGAAGAAGCCCCGGCUAACUACGUGCCAGCAGCCGCGGUAAAGUAGUGACUGU
rnacentral:rRNA from 1 species